GCUUCGUCUUCGUCGCCGGCAAACUGCAGAUUCAGGAGGACCACCUCCACCUCAGCGGCCCUAUCCCUGAAUUCGGCGACCACAGCCACACCCAGGUGAAUGGAGCUUGUGUUGUUGGUAGAACUCCGUUGAUGGCUUCUUCCUAUGUUGAAGAGCAUGUUCCAUGGUAUCCAAGAGUAGCUAGCAUUACACUGGCAGAGCGUUUUAUUUGUCGAUCGCAAUAUUUAUGAUUGUGUGGAAUAUUGUAUGGCUAUCUACAUGAAGUUUGAAGUUCGUGGGCAUGCAAUAUUUGACAGUUAAACUGGUUGUUGUGAUGUGAACGAGUGUAUGGAGUUUCACAUGUUCUGUUCUGUACAGAAUAUAUUGUAAUAAACCUAUUUUGGUUGUUAUUUGAAGAUUUUCA